AUGAGCCCCAGGCAUGCUAUCAGAGAGCUCCUUGUGCUUGGGCUGCUCUUUGGGAUGUAUAAACCCACUUGUGUAACUCUCCAGAGGACUAAAACCAGCUUGAUUGAAUGCUACAUAUGGCUUGGCAGCGUAGAUGCGGCGUUACCAAGACACUGAGCAGAGUUGUAUCAGAGUCACCUCUUUCAUCUGCAAAGGUAGAGCGUAAACCUUUGGAGGAACCUGUCACAGGAAAGAGCUCCUUCUGGAACUGUUCAGCACUCGCUGAAACACAGUGUACAACACGGGACUUGACGACCAGAGCUGCUUUUGGCAAGGUGAGUAAUGAACAGCUAUAGAAGG